rnacentral:rRNA from 1 species
GGGAACUCAAAGGAGACUGCCAGUGAUAAACUGGAGGAAGGUGGGGAUGACGUCAAGUCAUCAUGGCCCUUACGAGUAGGGCUACACACGUGCUACAAUGGCAUAUACAAAGAGAAGCGACCUCGCGAGAGCAAGCGGACCUCAUAAAGUAUGUCGUAGUCCGGAUUGGAGUCUGCAACUCGACUCCAUGAAGUCGGAAUCGC